CGUUGUCUCUGAUUGAGAACCAUACUUAGGUAGCUUUUUCCCACUGCGUGUUUGUGGGUAGUUUUGUGUCUGCACCAGACAGAACUGUUUCUGUUUUGUUAGUUCUCUUUGUUUUGUUAAUCAGUGUUUAGUUCCAUUAAUAAAAGGAUGAACACGUACCACGCUGCACCUUGGUCCUCUCCUUCCAACAGCCGUUACACGUCAUCAACCUGAGACCUGAGGUUCCUUCUCGACAAUGCAGCAACAAAUACAAGAUAAGAAUAUGAACAUAAAUCUCGUUGAUGUGGAUCGGAGCAUGUUCCCUAUCAGGCCUACAACUGUGGUGUCAUCGGCACACUUGAUGGUGGAGUUGGUGUCGUGCAAAGCCACACAGUCGUGGGUGAACAGGGAGUACAGCAGAGGACUGAGGACACACCCCUGGGGGCCCCCUGUGUUAAGAGUCAGUGUGGAGGAGGUGUUGUUACCAAUGCUCACAGCCGGUGGUGGUCUGCCCAUCAGGAAGUCCAGGAUCCAGACGAUGGUGGCAUCCUUAAAGCAGGUGGGGACAACAGCCUGGGAGAGAGACAGGUUGAAGAUGUCCGAGAAGACGUUAGCAUGCUGGUCAGCACACACUCUGAGGACGCGGCCAGGGAUGCCAUCUGGUUGAGAGUUUUCCUCACUUCAGCCUCAGAGAGCGAAAGCACCUGGUCAUCCGGAUCAUAUGAAUAGAAGUUAGAUAAAGGACAAACUUGUCUCUUGCCUGCUUUACUUCCACAAAAGAAAGUUUAAUGUUGCUUUAUUACAAAUCCUUCAUCUGCCUAGUCACAUUUAUGAGUUAAAUAAAGCUUAAUUCAUCUCCUGCUACAUUGCAUGGGCGGACUGGGACAAAAAUUAGGCCCUGGCAUUUUAUCCGUGCCAGCCCACAUCACUGUGCCCACUGCCAACUCACUCCUUUCCACAGAGGGUUCUACCUGGAACCCAAAAGGGAUCUUCAGUGCAGUGCAGCAUUUCUCAACUAUUUCUGUACCAGUGACUGGCGAGAGAUGGUCCUUCUCCUCUUUUUUAACAAGCUCAUGUUUAAAACAAAUACAAUAUGUAAAAGCCCCACUGGAGAUACAACUCACCACUAUAACUGUGCCUCUGUUCUAGCCAUUUUGUUUGCCUCCCUGUUGUGCUGCCUGUCUCUCUCAGUAUUUUCUCUGCUGUCACUGUGCUUUUUGUUCUCGGUCUGUCUGUCUGUCUGCUUAAAGGGCUAUUCCACCACUUUUCAAUCUCAUUUUCAUUAUCUCCAGCACAAUACCAGUGUCUACAUAUGUGAAACGGCACAUAUCCACGUUUUGUAGGAAAACAUAUAAAGUUAAAAGGUUCUACCUGAUGACAUCAUCAAAAGUUACAACAUUUUAAGAACAGUGAUUUUCAAACACUAUGAGAUUCACAGUGAUGUGGGGAGCAAAAAAAUACCCUCCCUUUGGCUAGAAACUCGUGGCAGGAUUUGAAAAUCACAUUUUUUUAAACUUUUAAU